UGUUGCUUUUGCCGGGAACAGAACAGGAAUGGAGUCUUAGAACUUAGGAACAUGAUCUAAGCAGAAGCACUGAGAAUAUGGGCACAGAUGAUCUGAUUCAGUAUGCCACCAUCGGCGAGUUCAGCACAGCCAGGGUGAGUCACGAUGUUGGUUGAAUCUUGAUUGUGAAUUUCAGGUUCAGGAUCUGGGGCAUCCCAGCAAGAAUUUGUGCCAUGAGACACUGUCCAAUGCUGGAGCGCAGCAGGGCUGCCCCCAGCGCUGGGGGUGUGAGCUCGGAUUAGCAUCCCUCUCUCUGCCCUGCUGGGCGUAGGGAGCAGCCACAGAGAUUGUAAUGCAGAAAGGACCCCUGCUCUGCACUCCUGCAAAUUCUCACCCAGCGAUUCCUGCGUCCAGCCCAGAACUUCUGCCACUGCAAUUAUUGCUUUUAACUAUCCAUGAAAAGGACAAGAUUUCUCUCUCCUCCUGCCCAGUUUUCUAGCUCUACCUGCUCCUGCCUCUCUACUGAGAGCUGAUUGAAAUUUUUCAAACAAAAUAAUUUUUUGUAGAAAAGUGAGCUUUUUGUCUGAAAUGAAAAUUUCCAUUAAAAUUGCAGGAUUCUUUUGAAAUUUUCUAUUCUGUAUGCAAAAAUUUGGUGCACAUUUAUAUCAAAAGCAGUCACUAAAAUUGU